rnacentral:rRNA from 1 species
AUUGAACGCUGGCGGCAGGCCUAACACAUGCAAGUCGAACGAGGGGCAGACGGGUGAGUAAUGGCUGGGAAACUGCCAGAGGGAGGGAGAUAACUACUGGAAAGGGUAGCUAAUAGCGCAGAACAUCGGAUGGGCCCAUAUGGGAUUAGAGAUUAGGUGGGGUAAAGGCCCACCUAGGCGACGAUCCCUAGCUGGUCUGAGAGGAUGACCAGCCACACUUGAACUGAGACACGGUCCAGACUCCUACGGGAGGCAGCAGUGGGGAAUAUUGCACAAUGUGCGCAAGCCUGAUGCAGCCAUGCCGCGUGUAUGAAGAAGGCCUUCGGGUUGUAAAGUACUUUCAGCGGGGAGGCGUUACCCGCAGAAGAAGCACCGGCUAACUCCGUGCCAGCAGCCGCGGUAAUAC